rnacentral:rRNA from 1 species
UACGGAGGGGCAAGCGUUGUUCGGAUUUACUGGGCGUAAAGGGCGCGUAGGCGGAUGUUCGCGUCAGAGGUGAAAGCCCCGGGCUCAACCUGGGAACUGCCUUUGAAACGGGACAUCUUGAGUUCGGAAGAGGGUAGCGGAAUUCCCAGUGUAGAGGUGAAAUUCGUAGAUAUUGGGAAGAACACCAGUAGCGAAGGCGGCUACCUGGUCCGACACUGACGCUGAGGCGCGAAAGCGUGGGGAGCAAACAGGAUUAGAUACCCCCGUAGUCCCUGAGCGGGCUGG